rnacentral:rRNA from 1 species
AACGAACGCUGGCGGCAGGCCUAACACAUGCAAGUCGAGCGAGCAUUUCGGUGCUAGCGGCGGACGGGUGAGUAACGCGUGGGAACGUGCCCUUUUCUGCGGAAUAGUCCUGGGAAACUGGGGGUAAUACCGCAUACGCCCUUUUGGGGAAAGAUUUAUCGGAGAAGGAUCGGCCCGCGUUGGAUUAGGUAGUUGGUGGGGUAAUGGCCCACCAAGCCGACGAUCCAUAGCUGGUUUGAGAGGAUGAUCAGCCACACUGGGACUGAGACACGGCCCAGACCCCUACGGGGGGCAGAGGGGGGGAAUCUUAGACAGGGGGGGCACCCCUGACAGCGCCGGGCCGGGGGAGGAGUGAGGCCCUUAGGGUUGAAAAGCCUUUUAAGCGGGGAAGAUAAUGACGGUACCGGAAGAAGAAGCCCCGGCUAACUCCGUC